rnacentral:rRNA from 1 species
UACGUAGGGGGCAAGCGUUGUCCGGAUUUAUUGGGCGUAAAGAGCGUGUAGGCGGUCUGGUAGGUCCGUUGUGAAAACUCGAGGCUCAACCUCGAGACGCCGAUGGAAACCAUCAGACUAGAGUCCGGAAGAGGAGAGUGGAAUUCCUGGUGUAGCGGUGAAAUGCGCAGAUAUCAGGAGGAACACCGGUGGCGAAGGCGGGUCUCUGGGCCGUUACUGACGCUGAGGAGCGAAAGCGUGGGGAGCGAACAGG